GCGGUCGGCCGGCAGAAUCGGCGCCGCCGUGAUGAGAUGCGGAGGCUCCGACGAGAUCGAUCUAUUCGCUGCUGUGCUCGGAGCUGCAUCUCCGUCGUCCCCGGAUCCGGGAAUAUUUGCCCAAAAUAUUGCAGUGGAGAGCAAUGAGCGGCUUUGACGGCGCGGCAGCUUGUAGCCUUGGCAUCAGGCGGCGCGGCUGAUGGUCUCAUCAUAUGGCGGUUUCGCCGCGGAGCAGCAGGAUGAUUUGGUGGCGACUGGAUGGCAACUGCGGAUGGUCUCAUCAGACAGCGAUGGUGUUGAGGUGGCUGGACCAUGGGCAGCACCAUCUUGGUACACGGGCUGUAGGUUAAAGAGGUGGCUUAACCUGCCAUCACGGUGAUCCCCGACCAUCAAUGCCUUCACUCUACUAUCAAGAGUCAACACUCUACGCUGGUACGGAAUUCUCGUGAAUCUAAUUUCCCAACCAUCUUCACUACGUAUGUGUUCAGUUCAUAACAUGUAUAUUCUUCAGUGCAGCUCCCAACUCUUUGCUCACUUCUGAUGCACUACAACACGUAAUUUUUCUUGUUUUAGUUUUAUUAGCAAAUACUCAUGGAGCUGCAAACUCGAUCAUAAUUUAUUUUAGUUACAAUGAGGUGGACUCA